rnacentral:rRNA from 1 species
UGGCCUACGGGAGGCAGCAGUGGGGAAUAUUGGACAAUGGGCGAAAGCCUGAUCCAGCCAUGCCGCGUGUGUGAAGAAGGUCUUCGGAUUGUAAAGCACUUUAAGUUGGGAGGAAGGGCAGUAAGCUAAUACCUUGCUGUUUUGACGUUACCAACAGAAUAAGCACCGGCUAACUCUGUGCCAGCAGCCGCGGUAAUACAGAGGGUGCAAGCGUUAAUCGGAAUUACUGGGCGUAAAGCGCGCGUAGGUGGUUCAGCAAGUUGGAUGUGAAAUCCCCGGGCUCAACCUGGGAACUGCAUCCAAAACUACUGAGCUAGAGUACGGUAGAGGGUGGUGGAAUUUCCUGUGUAGCGGUGAAAUGCGUAGAUAUAGGAAGGAACACCAGUGGCGAAGGCGACCACCUGGACUGAUACUGACACUGAGGUGCGAAAGCGUGGGGAGCAAACAGGAUUAGAUACCCUUGUAGUC